CAACUGUCUCUUAUAAUAAUCAAUUAAACUGAUCUCCUAGUAAAAAAGCUAGAAUUACAACAUAAGACCAGAAGACCCUGUGAAGCUUAAAUAAAACUAUUAAACCACAUAAUAACUACUUUCGGUUGGGGCGACCUUGGAAAAAAAGAGAACUUCCAAAUAAAAUGACUAUACCUCAUUAUCCAAAUUAGGCCAACAAGCCAAAAAUGACCCAGCACAGCUGAUAAUUGAACCAAGUUACUCCAGGGAUAACAGCGCAAUCUUCUUCAAGAGCCCAUAUCAAAAAGAAGGUUUACGACCUCGAUGUUGGAUCAGGACAUCCUAAUGGUGCAGCCGCUAUUAAGGGUUCGUUUGUUCAACGAUUAAUA
rnacentral:rRNA from 1 species